GCGGUCAUGGCGAAACUGGCAGACGCGUACGUUUGAGGGGCGUAUGGGCAACCGUUCGGGUUCAAGUCCCGAUGACCGCACCA
rnacentral:tRNA from 2 species